UGGGGAAUAUUGGGCAAUGGAGGAAACUCUGACCCAGCGACGCCGCGUGCGGGAUGAAGGCCUUCGGGUUGUAAACCGCUUUCAGUAGGGAAGAAGCGAAAGUGACGGUACCUACAAAAGAAGCACCGGCUAACUAUGUGCCAGCAGCCGCGGUAAUACAUAGGGUGCAAGCGUUAAUCGGAAUUACUGGGCGUAAAGCGUGCGCAGGCGGUUUUGUAAGUCAGAUGUGAAAUCCCCGAGCUCAACUUGGGAGCUGCGUCCGAAACUACAAGACUAGAAUAUGUCAGAGGGGGGUAGAAUUCCACGUGUAGCAGUGAAAUGCGUAGAGAUCUGAAGGAACACCAGUGGCGAAGGCGACUUACUGGCUUAAAACUGACGCUGAGGUACGAAAGCGUGGGUAGCAAACAGG
rnacentral:rRNA from 1 species